rnacentral:lncRNA from 1 species
GGGAAUAUAGUGUGCAUAUGCUAUGCAGCAGGGGAUUAGCUAGAUAGCGCGUACAUGAUCGAUCGAUCAGUCGAUUAUCAUUUGUUCCUUCAUUCGCGGAUCUUGUGUGUGUACAGUACAUGGGUCAAAUGAUUAGGCGAUUUGUGCAUCAUUUGUAUUCAUGUUGAGGUUUUGGUGUCUGUCCAAUGAGGUGCCUCGAAAGUGCGUCUGGGGAAAGUGCACCGGUGAAAUGGAGAGAAAUUGGUCGAUGCAAGAGCAUCGUCAACCAGUAGGAAAAAAACCAGAGGUGAAGAUUAUUCCCC